UUCAGAUGUCAAAGUAUGCAAGCCUGGAGUUCACAGAUGCAGCAGGUGGGCUCUGUGUAUCGAGUCGGGCACAUCCUACAAAUGCCAGUGCAAGAAGGGCUUUUCAGGAGAUGGAUUCACCUGUAGAGAUAUUAAUGAAUGCAAUGUUGGGACUCACGGGUGCCACGUGAAGUCGUCGUGCGUUAAUAGACUGGGAACUCACAGCUGCAUCUGUAACCUUGGAUUUCAGGGCAACGGAACGUUUUGUAGAGAUAUUGACGAAUGCGAUGUCGCUAUCUCAAGAUGCCCUGCGUCUUCCACGUGUAUUAACACGAUUGGUUCCUUCAACUGCAGCUGUAACACCGGCUACAACGAAUGCAGAGUAGGUAAGUAACACUACAU